ACAAUAAAAAAAGGAAACAUGCCACAUAGGUAGAGAAGGCAUGAGUCCAAUUAACAUUGUAUAAAUACAUAAAGAGCUCUUCAACAAAAGCAUUAUCAUAAAGGAAACAUGCCUUGAUCUUUUAUUUAGUAUAGCUAACAAUGGCAUGAAUCCCAUUAACAAUGGCUGCAUCACUCAUCAUCGUCAGAGCGCUUGCGAUAGUGGUGCUUGUGAUGGCGACGAUGCUUCUUCUCCUCAUCAUCAUCAUCAUCAGAGUCAUUAUCUCCCUGCUGAUUUAACUCAUGGUCAUACAUGGUAAUUGGAAAUUCAUAUUCGACAUAAAUGAGCAAUUUAAAGAGCAACUUUAUUUAAACAGAGUACUGACAACGCAUUCUUCUCCUAUUUUUUUUGACAACAGGUGAUCCUAAACAAAUUGGUAUCCAUGUGUUUUAAACUUUAUCCUUUUCCAUGAAAAAAGAUUAAAAGUAAUUCAAUUCUGUUUUGUGUUUUCCAUGGAAGACCAGCUAUGAGGUACUAAAUGCUGAAGUCAAAUUAGGUCUAUGCCCCAUAACAUUCAAAUAUGGAGUAAAAUACCUUGUAAUAACAGAAAGCAUGAGUUGCAUACAGGAUAAGUAGCUAUAAAGAUGACAACAACACUUUUGGCAUAUCUGCCGACUCCUGAGUUUGAACUUAGAAUGACUAAGACAUUUAUAAACAAGAACCAACAAUCACAGAAUUUAAGUCUGUUUGAAAUUAGAAGUAUUGUGCACCAUGGACUGAACAGGAAAUAAUGGUUCAUAUAUAACUGAAACCCUAGAACCUAAGGCAUUUAUAACUGAAACAAUAGAACCCAGAGCAUUUCAGUAGCAAACGGAUACAAAGAACAGAAAAGAAAAAAACGAGUGCCUUUUAAUGGUGAUUUGCUACUUAAAAAAAAAGAACACAAUUCCGGCAGACAAUUCCAUUUUCAUAUAACAUUUAUCAAAUGCCAACCAUUUCAACUUGUGCACUAACCUCAGUUGAUGCAAACUAAUUGACCCAAAUUUCAAAAUAUCCAAAUUCUCAGUACACAUUGUGUAAUGUACUGUGUACUAAACUUUUCCUACCAAUUUUCGAAAUACAAUUAUUCAUAUCAAGUUAUGCCAAAAACAGGAAAACAAAAUACAGCUAGAAAAUCAUAUACGCAUGAUAAUCCUCAAAUGAAAAUGCAAAGUAGAAUGGGUAUCAAUCGUUUGUUUAAACCACAUAAUAGCAAAUAAAGUAGAUAAUACAAAUCAAUGAAUCAGAUUUGAUGUAAAUCUUGUUAGCCAAAACAUAAGAACAACAUUUCAUUUCACUCACAAACCAUAGCCAAAAUGGAUUAAUAAACAAAAAGCGGUAAAAGAGUCCAAAGUUUAGAAAAUGCUUACAUAUUUCUUGCGGCCAUAGCCCUCUUCACCACCAUAACCAUAGUUCUUACGAGACUCAUCGUCAUCAACAUCGCGACUCUCAUAAGCUGGUCUCACAUACUCCUCCUCUUGCCUCCCAUAACUAGGCCUCCUUGGUGGGUCAUCUCCAUAACUCGGUCUCUCGUAUUCGGGCCUUCCUCCAUACGCUUCCUCCCCAUAACUAGGCUUCCGCCCAUAACCUUCGCCAUAUCCUGACCCACCACCUUCGUAUUCAGACUGUGGCCUACCUCCAUAUCCGGAUCCAUAUUCCGAACUAGGCCUCUCAUACCCAGGCUCAGGUCUCCUGCCAUACCCGGAUCCAUACUCCCCACCUGGUGGCCUCUCAUAUCCAGUCCCAUAUUCUGAUUCUGGCCUCCUUCCAUAGCCACCAGAUCCAUAUUCUGAAUCGGGUCUCUGGCCAUAACCAGAACCAUAUUCCUCACCGGAUGGCCUUCCGCCAUAUCCACCAGAUCCAUAAUCAGAUCCAGGCAUGGUAACUCCAGGCUGGAAACCAUAAGCAGGCUCAGGCUUAGCAUCUACAAAUACUUCUCCACCAGGAGUGUAUCCAUGAGCAGGACCGGGUCGGGGCUUGGGACGGCCAUAGCUGCUGUACUCCUCCUGGAGAUGAUCGUCGGCGUAGGCUGAUGGCUCAGCGUAGGAGGUGUAGCUGGGGCGAUCAUAGUCGAUCUCAUCGGCGGAUGAGCUGUGCGGGUAGCAUGUC
rnacentral:lncRNA from 1 species